UACGAAGGGGGGCUAGCGUUGCUCGGAAUCACUGGGCGUAAAGGGUGCGUAGGCGGGUCUUUUAAGUCAGGGGUGAAAUCCCGGGGCUCAACCUCGGAACUGCCUUUGAUACAGCACGUCUCGAGUCCGGAAGAGGUGGGGUGGAAUUCCUAGUGUAGAGGUGAAAUUCGUAGAUAUUAGGAAGAACACCGUGGCGAAGG
rnacentral:rRNA from 1 species